rnacentral:rRNA from 1 species
GACGAACGCUGGCGGCGUGCUUAACACAUGCCAGUCGAACGGAAAGGCCCUGCUUUUGUGGGGUGCUCGAGUGGCGAACGGGUGAGUAACACGUGAGUAACCUGCCCUUGACUUUGGGAUAAAUUCAGGAAACUGGGGCUAAUACCGGAUAGGAGCUCCUGCUGCAUGGUGGGGGUUGGAAAGUUUCGGCGGUUGGGGAUGGACUCGCGGCUUAUCAGCUUGUUGGUGGGGUAGUGGCUUACCAAGGCUUUGACGGGUAGCCGGCCUGAGAGGGUGACCGGCCACAUUGGGACUGAGAUACGGCCCAGACUCCUACGGGAGGCAGCAGUGGGGAAUAGUGCACAAUGGGCGGAAGCCUGAUGCAGCAACGCCGCGUGCGGGACGACGGCCUUCGGGUUGUAAACCGCUUUCGCCUGUGACGAAGCGUGAGUGACGGUAAUGGGUAAAGAAGCACCGGCUAACUACGUG